rnacentral:tRNA from 1 species
UGGGGUAUAGCUCAGUGAUAGAGCACUUGCCUAACAUGCAUGAAGCCCUGGUGGAUUUGAUCCCCUGUACCACAA